rnacentral:lncRNA from 1 species
AAAAAUUGUUAGAAUUUUGGAUUAAAAUGAAGAAUUUUCAUAAUUAUAGUCAUUAUUUUUAAUAUCAAUACUUUUUGGCCCAAAGUAUAAAUAAAAUAAAAUAAGUUUCUAUGUUAUAACACAAUUCAUCAAGACUGUAUGGAUCCAAAUGAUAUUUUAUCUUGUUGACUUUUGGUCAAGGACCAUUUUGAAAGGUUUGCAAACAAGUUAGACCAUAACAUAAUUUUAUAUGCGAAAAUUUCCUAAAUAUUGGGUUAAUUUAAAAUUUUAUAAAGAAAAUGGAUCUCAAUAAUAUUAUCCCUCCAUCAUCUUCACCAUCGUGACUUUGUCAGCCAGCAGCACAAUAUCGAAAUGGAAAAACUGAAAAAAUACAGUAACAUACGCAUAUUCAAACAAAACUAAUAAAACUAAAUAUUAUCAAAUAAUUUAAUACAAUAAUAAUAAAUAAGGCAAGGAUGAAAUUAGAAAAGAUUACAGAGUUAUUUAAAAAAAAAAAGACCCAUUUCAAAAAAAAAGAAAAGAAAAAGAAAACAAAGCAACUUACCUGGCUAGCGAUAGAGCAAUGGAAGGAACGGCAGCGGCAGGUGGGCAGCAAGGAUAAGGCAGUACCAGCCACCGGUUGAUGAGACUUAGGGUUUGGGUCUGUGGCUUUGUGCAGGCAGUUGAAAGUGAGAGAGUAGAGAUAGAUAACGGUGCAAACAUGUGUAUUUGUGUAUAUAUCGGUUUUAAUGAAAUUACAAAAAU